CCUCGGCCUGCCAGACACUUGUGCAGAGAGAUCACGCAUCUCACGGCUUGACGAUCAAGGGGGCAAAGCCUCGGUCUUCAUAGAAAAGGAGAGGAGGCAAACGCAGCCCAAACUGGGGGGUUUCUCUUCAAAGCCAGCUGGUCUGGCUUUAUUCUACAGGAAUUUUUUUACCUGUCAGGGUUUGGACAACAAAGCCCUCAGCAGGUGCUGACGGGUACAACUUCCUGGAGAAGCAGAAAGGCACUGAGAAAACAUCUUGCUCUGUUGCUCAGGCUGGAGCGCAAUGGUGCCAUCGUAGCUUACUGUAACCUUGAACGUCUGUGCUCAAGCAAUCUUCCUGCCUCAGCCUCCUGAGUAGCUGGGACUACAGAGACAGGGUCUUGUUCUAUUGUCCAAGCUGGUCUUGAAUUCCUGACCUCAAGCAAUCCUCCUGCCUCUGCCUCCCAAAGCACUGGGAUUAUUACAGAGGUGCUGGUUACGUGGGAAUUUGAUUUGUCAAAACUGAUUGAAUGACACAGAGAUGUGGUUUCACUGGGUUAGCCAGGAUAGUCUCGAUCUCCUGACCUUGUGGUCCGCCUGCCUCGGCCUUCCAAAGUGCUGGAAUUACAGGUGUGAGCCACCGCGCCCGGCCAAGGGUCGAUGUUGCACAGGUGAAUACAGAGGCUUUCUAAAGAAAUUGAUGAGAGAUGGAGUUUUGCUCUUGUUGCCCAAGCUGGAGUGCAAUGGCGUGAUCUCAGCUUACUGCAACCUCUGCCUCCUGGGUUCAAGCAAUUCUCCUGCCUCAGUUUCCCGAGUAGCUGGGAUUACAGUAGAGACGAGGUUUCACUGUGUUAGCCAGGAUGGUCUUGAUCUCCUGACCUUGUGAUCCACCCGCCUCGGCCUCCCAAAGUGCUGGGAUUACAGGCGUGAGCCACCGCACCCGGCUACAAUGGAUAAAUGAUUUCUUAUUGUACUUUUAAUUUGCAUUUCUUUGAUUACUGUGAGGUUGAACCAUUUAAAAAUAAGCAUUGCCUUUUGUGUGAAUUGUGUUUCUUCUUUUGAGGAACAUUCCUCCUGCAUUCUUUGGCUCCCCUCCCCGCCCCAGACAUACAUUAGACUUUCCAAAGACUUGGAAAUUAACACUUCGUGGGUCAUAUUUACAGCAAUUAUUUACUCUGGUAAUUUCCUUUUCAUUUUAAUUGUACUAUUUUCAGGACUUUUAUGUGUUUUCAAAUGAAGAUCUUCUCAUCUGUGAUUGCUUCAAAGCUUGGAAAAUAAUAAUAACAUCAACGAAGUGAAAAUUACCCAAUUUUAUUUUUUCCUUCUAUUAUAUAUUUGUAUUAAGCUCUUUCAUCAACAUGGAAAAAAAUG
rnacentral:lncRNA from 1 species